GGGUACGUAGUUCAGUGGUAGAACGCCGUCCUGAUAAGACGGAGGUCGUAGGUUCGAUCCCUACCGUACCCA
rnacentral:tRNA from 1 species